UACGUAGGGUGCAAGCGUUGUCCGGAAUUAUUGGGCGUAAAGAGCGUGUAGGCGGCCCGGUUAGUCCGCUGUGAAAGUCCAGGGCUCAACCCUGGAAUGCCGGUGGAUACUGUCGGGCUAGAGUCCGGAAGGGGCGAGUGGAAUUCCUGGUGUAGCGGUGAAAUGCGCAGAUAUCAGGAGGAACACCAAUGGCGAAGGCAGCUCGCUGGGACGUGACUGACGCUGAGAAGCGAAAGCAUGGGGAGCGAACAGG
rnacentral:rRNA from 1 species